UCUGAGAAACAUCAAAAGGUGUGUGCUGCUUGUGGGUCCAGGAUAUUUGAACCAAGCACAAAGACAAUAAAUGGACAUGGACAAGGUAAAUCUGAAAUAAGGAAAAUAACAGAAGAAGAGGGAGUGAAGACUGAGAAAGGCACAGAGUCCCAUUUGGGCAAGAUAUGCCAAGAAGAGCAACAGAGACUUGAAGGUUCUGG